CCUGUGAGGGUUGCUGGAGGUAUCAGAAGUGCGAAUGCUGACAUAAGUAACGAUAAUGCGGGUGAAAAACCCGCACGCCGGAAGACCAAGGGUUCCUGUCCAACGUUAAUCGGGGCAGGGUGAGUCGACCCCUAAGGCGAGGCUGAAAAGCGUAGUCGAUGGGAAACAGGUUAAUAUUCCUGUACUUGGUGUUACUGCGAAGGGGGGACGGAGAAGGCUAGGCUAGCCGGGCGACGGUUGUCCCGGUUUAAGCAUGUAGGCGGAGCGACUUGGUAAAUCCGGUUGCUUAUCAACGCUGAGGUGUGAUGACGAGUCACUACGGUGAUGAAGUAGUUGAUGCCAAGCUUCCAGGAAAAGCCUCUAAGCAUCAGGUAACAUUAAAUCGUACCCCAAACCGACACAGGUGGUCAGGUAGAGAAUACUCAGGCGCUUGAGAGAACUCGGGUGAAGGAACUAGGCAAAAUGGUGCCGUAACUUCGGGAGAAGGCCCGCUGGCAUUAGGUAAAGGGACUUGCCCCCGGCCCCGAAGCCAGUCGCAGAUACCAGCUGGGUGCAACUGUUGAAUAAAAACACGGCACUGUGCAAACACGAAAGUGGACGUAUACGGUGUGACGCCUGCCCGGUGCUGGAAGGUUAAUUGAUGGGGUCAGCCUUACGGCGAAGCUCUUGAUCGAAGCCCCAGUAAACGGCGGCCGUAACUAUAACGGUCCUAAGGUAGCGAAAUUCCUUGUCGGGUAAGUUCCGACCUGCACGAAUGGCGUAAUGAUGGCCAGGCUGUCUCCACCCGAGACUCAGUGAAAUUGAACUCGCUGUGAAGAUGCAGUGUACCCGCGGCAAGACGGAAAGACCCCGUGAACCUUUACUAUAGCUUGACACUGAACAUUGAGCCUUGAUGUGUAGGAUAGGUGGGAGGCAUCGAAGUGUGGACGCCAGUCUGCAUGGAGCCAACCUUGAAAUACCACCCUUUAAUGUUUGAUGUUCUAACUCGGCCCCAUAAUCUGGGGUGAGGACAGUGUCUGGUGGGUAGUUUGACUGGGGCGGUCUCCUCCCAAAGAGUAACGGAGGAGCACGAAGGUUAGCUAAUCACGGUCGGACAUCGUGAGGUUAGUGCAAAGGCAUAAGCUAGCUUGACUGCGAGAGUGACGGCUCGAGCAGGUACGAAAGUAGGUCUUAGUGAUCCGGUGGUUCUGAAUGGAAGGGCCAUCGCUCAACGGAUAAAAGGUACUCCGGGGAUAACAGGCUGAUACCGCCCAAGAGUUCAUAUCGACGGCGG
rnacentral:rRNA from 1 species